AUGGCACUAAAGUACUAUGAUAUGGUUAACAUGUAUGUCUCCUACAAGAUUCUAGCGGCUUUGGCAUGGACAGUCCAUUUUUGGCUGGAGGAAUGAACUUGUACGGUCGGAACAUUAUUUUUUCUUAACUUUCAGGACCACGAACAAUUUUUUAUUCCGAAUUCGGAAUAUUUUCCGCAAAAAAAUAACGCUGGUAAAAUAACGCUGGUGUGGGUUUGGUAACCAAACCCACGACGAGCAAAACCUGCACUCAAAAGGGCUGAAGGC
rnacentral:lncRNA from 1 species